rnacentral:tRNA from 1 species
UGGGCUGUAGCUCAGUGGUAGAGCACCUGCCUUGUUCAGGUGACACACUGGGUUCUAUCCUCAGCACCACAU